rnacentral:rRNA from 1 species
GGGCCCGCACAAGCGGUGGAGUAUGUGGUUUAAUUCGAUGCAACGCGAAGAACCUUACCAGGGUUUGACAUCCUGCGAAUCUCUUGGAAACGAGAGAGUGCCUUCGGGAACGCAGUGACAGGUGGUGCAUGGCUGUCGUCAGCUCGUGUCGUGAGAUGUUGGGUUAAGUCCCGCAACGAGCGCAACCCACGUCGUUAGUUGCCAGCAUUUUAGUUGGGCACUCUAGAGAGACUGCCGGUGAUAAACCGGAGAAGGUGUGGAUGACGUCAAGUCAUCAUGCCCCUUACAUCUGGGCUACACACGUACUACAAUGGCGCAUACAGAGGGCAGCCAACUUGCGAGAGUGAGCGAAUCCCCAAAAAGUGCGUCGU